rnacentral:misc_RNA from 1 species
GCGAGUGCGAGUCAGUGAGUGAAAAUGGCCGGGGCGGGAGGUCCCCACAGUGCUAACUCUCCGUGUAAUUUGUCUAGAAGUUUAGAUAGAAUACUUGUAGAUGCUCAGGCAACAUGUGAAUUAAAACUAAGUGGUCGAAAAUUAAAGGAAUACCCGAAAGGUGCUUCGAAAUACAACCUAAGUGAUACGGUCUUAGCAGGUAUGUUGGAGUUGCAAUCACGAUGAGAUACAGUGCUGCAGGUCGGUGCAGGUUUAUGGUGAGAGACAAUGGCAUUGCAUUGCAAACUAUUGUUAUCUUGCAAUUGUGUUAUCUGAUUGUUGGUUUGUGGUGUCGCCGGGUUCCUUUCUAUGAUAUGAUAAUGAUGACAAGUUGGUAUGAUAUUCCUUUAUAGAUGGUAGGGAUGCCAAGUAUUGUGAAGUGCUUUUCUUCUUCUUCUUCUUCUUCUUCUUCUUCUUCUUCUUCUUCUUCUUGAUAUGCUGAUAGGUAUGAGGGCAUCAUGGGGAGGGAUAUGAGGGUCUAACGAAGGAGGAAGAAGGGAAAUGAGAAGAAAAUACAUUAGUGAGAAAAAAUAAGGAAGAGGAGGAUUAAAGAGAAAACGAGAAGAUACCGC